rnacentral:rRNA from 1 species
AUAAAUAAAAAUUUUACUUAGUCGUGUAUUUUUUGUUUCAUAGACUAAUAAAUGAGGUUUAGAUAAAAGAACCUGAAGUUAAGUAUUAGAUUUUAUAAUAGUAGAAGAACUAAAGGGGUUUAAAGUUUAGUUUCUUAAAUUAUAAAAUGAUUAUGAUAAGUGUAGUGAACUUAAAGAUAGCCGGUAACUUAAAUUAAUAUAAUAAAAGUUUUUAAAGGAAAGCUUUAAAAACAUAAAAACUUCAAUUUUAAUUAAAUAAACGGAGAUUUGGGAGGUGAAUUGUUAUAAAAAGUAUAACAACUUAAAAGUAUUUAGGAGAUAAAGUUAUUAUAUUUAAGUUAUUAAUUAUUAUAUUUUAAUGUUGGUAUUAGUAAAAUUAAAAAAUUAAAAAAGAACUCGGCAUUCCUCCAACUGUUUGCAAAAACAUUGCCGCAUUGUAAAAAAAUGAGGUAUGGCCUGCUCAAUGUUUAAAUUUAAAUAAAUAGCCGCGGUAAUUUGACCGUGCAAAGGUAGCGUAAUUACUUGUUCUUUAAUUAGGAACCUGUUUGAAAGGGUAAAAUGAGGGGAAAAUUUUUUUUUUAAUUUUGAUUGAAUUUAUAGUUGAAUUAAAAAUAAUUUUAAAUUUUAAUAAGAAGAGAAGACCCUAUAAAUUUUUUCUCUUUAGUAUAAAAAUUAAGUAGUAAAAGAGGUUUGGUGGGGCACCAACAUUAAAAUAAGUUGUUAUUUUAUGGAAUGUUUUUCAACAAAAAGAUAUUUAGGGAUAACAGGAUAAUCAAAAGUUUGAGAUCUUAUUGAUCUUUUGGUUUAUUACAUCGAUGUUGAAUUAAUUACCCAUAAAUAUGCAGGGGUAUUUUUUAAGGGUGGCCUGUUCGGCCAUUAAAUGAUUACAUGAUUUGAGUUAAGACCGGCGAAAGUCAGGUUGGUUUCUAUCUAUUAAGGGUAAAGAAUUGUACGAAAGGACUUAUCUAAAUUUAUG